rnacentral:tRNA from 1 species
GGCUCCACAGUGUAGUGGUUAACACAUCUGCUUUACAUGCAGAAGGUUCGGGGUUCACGCCCCUGGUGGAGUCA